rnacentral:sRNA from 1 species
AAGAAAAGGCCCCCAAAAAGUCAGCUGCGAUUCUUCCUGGAUCCUGGAACCAUGAACUCUCUGGUCAGUUUUCUGCAGCUUUGACUGCCUUCCAGAUAGGCCAAACGAGGCAUGAGACAGAGCCUCGAUGUCCUUACUAUGGAUACUCCAGUUGGAUCCAGAAAGGAUUUAAGGCAUCUUCAGGGAAAAGAUAGGACUUGGGCCUACAGCUGACCCCAUGGGUCCUGUUGGCCAGCAGGCUCACCUGCCAAGACCAGGGUGCCAGGGAGAUGGCUCCAAGUAACGGUGCUGUCUGCUGGCUGGUGCAGGGCUCCUGGUGCUGAAGGACUUGGGCAUUCAGGUGGACCGCUACAUUGCCUCGGAGGUGUGUGAGGACUCCAUCACGGUGGGCAUGGUGCGGCACCAGGGGAAGAUCAUGUACGUCGGGGACGUCCGCAGCGUCACACAGAAGCAUAUCCAGGAGUGGGGCCCAUUCGAUCUGGUGAUUGGGGGCAGUCCCUGCAAUGACCUCUCCAUCGUCAACCCUGCUCGCAAGGGCCUCUACGAGGGCACUGGCCGGCUCUUCUUUGAGUUCUACCGCCUCCUGCAUGAUGCGCGGCCCAAGGAGGGAGAUGAUCGCCCCUUCUUCUGGCUCUUUGAGAAUGUGGUGGCCAUGGGCGUUAGUGACAAGAGGGACAUCUCGCGAUUUCUCGAGUCCAACCCUGUGAUGAUUGAUGCCAAAGAAGUGUCAGCUGCACACAGGGCCCGCUACUUCUGGGGUAACCUUCCCGGUAUGAACAGGCCGUUGGCAUCCACUGUGAAUGAUAAGCUGG